rnacentral:rRNA from 1 species
CUUGGUGAUUAUUGCGUGAAGGUCCCACCCGUUCCCAUUCCGAACACGGUAGUUAAGCUUCACUGCGCCGAUGAUACUGGGCAUUCCCGGGAAAGUAGGUCGUUGCCAAGA